rnacentral:lncRNA from 1 species
UGUUCGAGGGGCUCGCUGAUGAAUGUUCUGGAGUAGCCCUGACCCUGCUUAACAUGAGUUGUUCCUGUGAAGUUCCUUAAGGACACCAUGGUCUGCUCAUCUUUCUACUUCCAGAUCUGGAAUAGUUGAGACCAAGUAAGUGUUGAAUUGGAAGUUUCCAGGGGUUCUGGAAGCCAGACUGCCUUGGGUCCAGAGCCUCCUUGUGGCAUAAAGUUCCUGGUGGUCCCUGGGUAGAAACUCCAUUUCUUUGGGUCUCAGUUCUGUUGUCUGGAGAAUACUAGCACAUACCUCAGAGGGUGAUGGUAAAGAUGAAAUGAAUGUAUACAUUCAAAGGACACAGAUCAGCGGGAACUAGAGAAACAUUCGCUGUUAUUAUUAAGCAGGGUUAAUAAAUGGUUCAAUUCAACACACAUCAGUCGAAUAUCUGUCUUCCACCAGGGUGAUGGAGGGCACACGCAGGUCUGUCAUGGGCCAGGCAUUGUGCUUGGUUGUGAAUAUCAGCCUAAACGGGACCCAGUCUCUGCCUUUUUGGGGGUUCAUAUAGUAAGAGAUUCAGAUAAUCUUUUAUAACGUGGUCCUGGAAACUCCACGCGGGAGGUCUCGGGCAGGUGGAAAUUAUUUCCUAAAAAAGUGGGGUCGAAACUGAUAGAAACUCUUUACGCUUCUUGGGGAACGUGAGGAAUCAAGAUCCAUUCAGGUUGUAAUGGCAUUUGAUUUUGUUUGCUUGAAAUGUGAGGUAUUUAAGGAACAGCAGUUGCAGGUUUGGGGAUGAGCACUCAUGACCGGGGGGAGUGGUUGCACAGACCACAGCCUUGCGGUCCCCAUCCGUGGUCUCUGUUUUAAGGCUCACUUGGGUGUCCUGUGUGUCUUAGCUUUUGCAUCCAAACGAGCACCAUCUCUGGGGUUCCAGAGUGUUGCUUUAUCUUUUGAAACAUUUCUUCCUCUUCUAGACACUUCUUCACAAGCUUCCUGUUGCCAUCAGAACCGACACAUCCUGCAGAGGCUUCCGGCUCAUGGAUCAAGCGUGUGCAACAGUGCUCUGGGGGCCCAGCCGGGAGAGUGUGGGAGGCGGCGCAGGGUGUGAUGAGCCUAGGCCCCACGUUACACCAUGAAGUUUCAAAUCUGGUUCCGCUGAUCACCAGCAGUGAAGGUUGGUAACUCCCUCUGGGUCUCGGUUGUCUCAUCUGUAUAACAUGGACAUCAGCACCUAAGUCAUGGGUUUUUUUUUUUUCACCUUAUCCUCUUUUACUGCACGCCUCCCCGUUGGUCUGCAGGGGGCGCCAUUGAGCUGUAUUCGCCACGUUCCAGGCCGCCGAAACCGCACAAUUUGAAAUCACAUACCAUGAAAAGAAAAAGAAAAGACUCAAACGCUGAGAUCCAAACUGCGAAGACUUUGGUCUUUAUGAGAAAACAGCUCUUGAAAAACAAAAUUUCUCCCCUGCAGGAAUGAGAGGAUUUCUCAGAAGUCAAGUCUCUUGUAAUGUGUGUCAUGUCUUUUCUUUCCUCCAUGUACUUAAAAAAAAAAACAACUAUAUAGCUACGUCAAAACACACACACAGAGGCACACACUCACACACAUACGCGCACACACGCGCACCCGCGCACACACACACACACACACACUCACACAACUCUGGAGACAGUAUCAAUGUCAGACUCCGCAGCCUUAACCUUGUCAGGAAAGGUGUUUUCUAGCCCGACCGUCCAUCCACAGAAUAAAACAAAUGUUUGCCUCUGGUUAAUGCUAACA